rnacentral:rRNA from 1 species
CAAUAGCGUAUAUUUAAGUUGCUGCAGUUAAAAAGCUCGUAGUUGGAUUUCGGGUGGGAAUGGCCGGUCCGCCGUUUCGGUGUGCACUUGCUACGCCCACCUUGCUGCCGGGGACGUGCUCUUGAGUUCACGCUCGGGACACGGAGUCGGCGAGGUUACUUUGAGUAAAUUAGAGUGUUCAAAGCAGGCCUACGCUCUGAAUACAUUAGCAUGGAAUAACACGAUAGGACUCUGGCCUAUCUUGUUGGUCUGUAGGACCGGAGUAAUGAUUAAGAGGGACAGUCGGGGGCAUUCGUAUUUCAUUGUCAGAGGUGAAAUUCUUGGAUUUAUGAAAGACGAACUACUGCGAAAGCAUUUGCCAAGGACGUUCUCAUUAA